UGCCAGCCGCCGCGGUAAUACAGAGGUGGCAAGCGUUGUUCGGUAUCACUGGGCUUAAAGGGCGUGUAGGCGGUGCGGUACGGUUCGGGUGAAAUCCCACGGCUCAACCGUGGAACUGCCUGAGCAACGGCCGCGCUUGACGGCAUCAGGGGGAGGUGGAACUCAGGGUGGAGCGGUGAAAUGCGUAGAUAUCCUGAGGAACGCCGGUGGCGAAAGCGACCUCCUGGGGUGCUCCUGACGCUGAGGUGCGAAAGUGUGGGGAGCAAACAGGAUUAGAUA
rnacentral:rRNA from 1 species